rnacentral:lncRNA from 1 species
UCACAUUUAAUUUUCUGCAACAAGAUCCUUAUUAAAAAAUUGCAACAACAUCUCCUAUCACGUCUAAUUUCGUGUAACAAGAUCCAUAUAAAAAUUGCAACAACAUCUCGCACCACAUCUAAUUUUCUACAGCAAGUUCCUUGUUAUGAAAAUUGCAACAACAUUUUUCUUUACGUUUAUAUUUUUGCAACAAGACCCUUAUUGUAAAAGUUACAACAACAUCUCCUGACGUUUUUAAUUUUAUGGAACAAGACCCUUGUUACAAAAAAUUGCAAUACAGUUGUUGCGUGUGAGCUCAAGGAGGCGAGAGCUGGCGCUCCUCCAGAACGGCGACGAGCAGACGCAGCUCCAGCGGCGGCGUGCCUCGCAGAGACGGGCGAUGCAGUCCAGCGGAUUCUAGCGCACGCACAAGCAGGGAGGCAGCACUGCGAUGGCCAACUGCCCAUCUUCAAGCAUCUACGCACAGGCCGGAGUGCCUACUCACAAGUUGCAGCACCAGCCACCGGCCAAGGAGCGCUCCUCGUCACCGACGAGCUCAACACUUCGCUGGAGAGACGCAUGGCAUGGAGGCAUGAUGUGACUAGAGCUAGAUGUAAAGGCUGAAUGAGGGGAAAAGAAU